rnacentral:rRNA from 1 species
AACGAACGCUGGCGGCAUGCCUAACACAUGCAAGUCGAACGAUGCCUUCGGGCAUAGUGGCGCACGGGUGCGUAACGCGUGGGAAUCUGCCUUUUGGUUCGGAAUAACUCAGGGAAACUUGAGCUAAUACCGGAUAACGUCGCAAGACCAAAGAUUUAUCACCGAAAGAUGAGCCCGCGUAGGAUUAGCUAGUUGGUGAGGUAAAGGCUCACCAAGGCGACGAUCCUUAGCUGGUCUGAGAGGAUGAUCAGCCACACUGGGACUGAGACACGGCCCAGACUCCUACGGGAGGCAGCAGUGGGGAAUAUUGGACAAUGGGCGAAAGCCUGAUCCAGCAAUGCCGCGUGAGUGAUGAAGGCCUUAGGGUUGUAAAGCUCUUUUACCCGGGAAGAUAAUGACGGUACCGGGAGAAUAAGCCCCGGCUAACUCCGUG